GGAAUUGACGGGGCCCGCACAAGCGGUGGAGUAUGUGGUUUAAUUCGAUGCAACGCGAAGAACCUUACCUGGUCUUGACAUCCCGGAGACCCUUAGGAAACUAGGGGGUGCUUCCAUCUGGAAGAAUCUGGAGACAGGUGCUGCAUGGCUGUCGUCAGCUCGUGUCGUGAGAUGUUGGGUUAAGUCCCGCAACGAGCGCAACCCUUGCCUUUAGUUGCCAGCAGUUCGGCUGGGCACUCUAAAGGGACUGCCGGUGUUAAACCGGAGGAAGGUGGGGAUGACGUCAAGUCCUCAUGGCCUUUAUGACCAGGGCUACACACGUACUACAAUGGCCGAUACAAAGGGCAGCGACACUGCGAGGUGAAGCCAAUCCCGUAAAAUCGGUCUCAGUCCGGAUUGGAGUCUGCAACUCGACUCCAUGAAGUUGGAAUCGCUAGUAAUCGUGGAUCAGCAUGCCACGGUGAAUACGUUCCCGGGCCUU
rnacentral:rRNA from 1 species